UCCUACAUGGUAUAGUGGUUAGGAUUCAUGGCUUUCACCCAGGCGGCCCGGGUUCGAUUCCCGGUGUAGGGA
rfam:Ciona savignyi cont_62208, whole genome shotgun sequence.